UUCAAAAUCGCCUAGUAACAAAAAUUAAAAGUUCCCAAAUCGUUUACAAUUUAAAUUUUUAAAAUCCGUCAACGAAUAAAAAAGUUAUUGCCUUUUAAAUACGACGACUUGAUUAGCGUUCGCCCGGUCCCGCAUAUUUCUUUACGGCGCCGUUUAAUAAACUUCACUAGUCCGUGUAGAUAGACGAUUGAUAAAACGCUUGGAAGCAAGCGUCUCAUUCUAGUAAAAAUGAAGAAAAGAAAAAUACACGAUUUCUUUCACCCUGUGUCGAAUUGGAAGAUUCAUUCUCUGGAAAGUAGAAAAGGGCAUGUUACAUACUGUUAUCACUGCCAUGACAGAAACCAUAUUGAGGAGCUGGUCCACCUGUAGGAAGAAUUGCGCUAUUAGUUGGAGCAGCACUAUAUCCCAGCCAUACACCAGCACUUAGUUUGUCAUAGGGAGCAUUUCUGAGCAGUUAUGGAGACCACUAACUAUGCAGUUGUUGCAAUGAAACUUGCACCAGUGUGUUUUCUGUGGAGAUAAAGAGAUAGUGUCCAGCAAUGAAGACCCAACUCAAGAUCUGACCUUGUAAGGCCAAUAUGAAAUAACUGUGUGGGAAAAUGGGAAAAACCUGCAGUCAGGAAUGCACGGAAAUCAUCAAAAGAUCAGUGUUAAAUUAAUCUUGAAUAACUUGACAUUUAUUUUGUUUGACAUAUUUAUUCAUGGUGCAGUGAAAACAUUCUUUUUUUCUCAUGGUUAUUUAAAUUUAGAAUUGAUAGGAGGGAACAUCACUAUGUAGUUUCAUGUUCAUAGUCAGAUCAAAACCCAUGUACAUGCCCAAAUGAGCAUUCGAAAAUAUCAAAAUGGUACUUGUUGUAUGUAGUGUAAGUUAAUUAACGUAAUAAACAAAAAUAUUUAA